AACCACAGCCAAGGGCAUGGGCUUGGCGGAAUCAGUGGGGAAAGAAGACCCUGUUGAGCUUGAGUCUAGUCUGGCACUGUG
ensembl:miRNA